GUACUCGCUUCGGCAGGACAUAUGCUAAAACUGGAACGAUACAGAGAAGAUUAGCAUGGCCCCUGUACAAGGAUGACACACAAAUUUGUGAAGAGUUCCAGAUUUAA